rnacentral:lncRNA from 1 species
CUUUUCAUCAGCAAUAUGAUCGAUGCUGGUAAGAAUGGCAUUUAGAGUAAUCUUGCCUCGAAGGAUGCAAUCUUACCUUGGAUAAUGUUGGAGUAAAUAUGAUUUUAAUUAGAAUGGGAAACCCAUACUCAAACCUGAUAAGUCCAAAGAUAGAACAAUACAAGGGCCAUCGAGCCUUACGUGGUAUGGCUCAAACCCUACAAAUUGCAAACGACCACACUAAACUCCCUAGUUUGCGAUGAUGCAUUGCUCUUCUUUUGUUCGACAUGAGUGCCACUUUUGUCUUACAAAUUCUCGCCACAGCAUGCAUGCAUCAACUCUUCAGGUGGUUCAUCUUACUAAUUGGCUUCAAUUCAAGGCAUGGAAAGCCAGUAAGACCCAAAGGUAAUCAGGAAACCUGAGUUCGCAAUCAUGAUUUUGGUGCAGAGAACAAAGAGAGUGGUUAGGAGCUCAAAGGUUCAGCAUGACCCGUUCACUCUAUGCAAAAUAGAAA